UGGGUUGGAAAGAAGCCCUGGAGAAGGGAAUGGCUACCCAUUGCAGUAUUCCUGCCUGGAGAAUUCCAUGGACAGAGAAGACUGGUGGGCUAUAAUCCACGGGGCUGCAAAGAAUUGGACAAGACUGAGAGACUAAGCAGCAACACAGAAACAAUUGAGCAUGGAUUGAUGGAGUAAAGAGACCAAGAUGCCAAACCUCAUCAAGGUGGCCCAAGAUGCAAGAAAGUGAAUGACCCUAGCAAGGACCCUGCCUUACACCAAGAUGACACAGGUCUGUGGAC